rnacentral:rRNA from 1 species
AGCAGCCGCGGUAACUCCAGCUCCAAUAGCGUAUAUUUAAGUUGUUGCAGUUAAAAAGCUCGUAGUUGAAUUUCGGGAUCAAUACGUCGGUCGUGCUUUCGGGUACGUACUGGCGUCAUUGGUUUCUCCUUUCUGACGAACCAUGAUGUCAUUAAUUUGGUGUUAUGGGGAGUUAGGACUGUUACUUUGAAAAAAAUUAGAGUGUUUAAAGCAGGCAUUAGCUUGAAUACAUUAGCAUGGAAUAAUGAAAUAGGACGUUCGAUCCUAUUUUGUUGGUUUCUAGGAUCAACGUAAUGGAUUAAUAGGGAUAGUUGGGGGCAUUAGUAUUCAAUUGUCAGAGGUGAAAUUCUUGGAUUUAUUGAAGACUUAACUACUGCGAAAGCAUUUGCCAGGAUGUUUUCAUUAAUCAAGAACGAAAGUUAGGGAUCGAAGACGAUCAGAUACCGUCGUAGUCUUAACCAUAAACUAUAGACCGACUAGGGAUCGGAUGAUGUUAAUUUUUAUGUACUUCUAUUCGGCG